rnacentral:rRNA from 1 species
GAUGAACGCUAGCGGCAGGCUUAACACAUGCAAGUCGAGGGGCAGCGCGGGAUAGCAAUAUCCUGGCGGCGACCGGCGGAAGGGUGCGUAACGCGUGCGCGACAUGCCCGUUGCCCGGGGACAACCGGUGGAAACGCCGACUAAUCCCAGAUGGGAUAUUGUGCCGCAUGGCACGAUAUUGAAAGUUACGGCGGCGACGGAUUGGCUCGCGUCCGGUUAGCUUGUUGGCGGGGUGACGGCCCACCACGGCUGCGAUCGGUAGGGGUUCUGAGAGGAAGGCCCCCCACAAUGGGACUGAGGCACGGCCCAUACACCGACGGGAGGCAGCAGUGAUGAAUGAUGGUCAAUGGGCGGAAGCCUGAACCAGCCAGGCCGCGUGCGGGAAGGAGGCCCUAUGGGCUGUGAACCGCUUUUGCCUGGGGGCAAUAAGGGCGUCGCGCACGUCCGAUGAGAGUACCAGGCGAAUAAGCAUCGGCUAACUCCGUG